rnacentral:tRNA from 1 species
AAGAAAGUAGCCCAAAUAUAAGGCAACUAGCUGUUAACUAGUAGAUGCGAUUAAUCGCCUUUCUUU